CAACGACUCACUUGUGCUAAUAACAGCUGUGUUGUUAGCCAGUGUUGCUAACUUACUGAUUUUGUUGCUAGAUUUAUUUUAAGAAAACAGCAUGUUUUCUUUUUUGUGUGUUUGUUGCAAAUUACACUAAUUAAAGCCUAUUGUCCAUCAGAAUAAAACAUUAAACAAGCCAAUGAAAAAUUUACAGUAGCUUAGCCCCGCCCACUGCAUCAGAAACAAACUCGGACAUUAGGGUAUGGCAGCACCAGAGCCAACAAAGCGAAAGCUGGCAGUGGAAAGUGGGUGAGCAUGCUACUGCUGCUGAAAACAACUCUUGUGGAGACGCUAAGAGAUCCAUACAGACUGUGGACUGGUGUACCCAAUAACAGCUGAAGGGCAACCCUAAAAACACCCCUGUUUGGAUUUUGAAGUUGCUGCCUGUUUCUUUCACUUCUAACAAUGAGGAUGAUCACCACCCACCUCAUCCCCAACUUCCCAACUCAUCCCAAAAGUACUGGAUGGAGCUCCAUUAUUCCAGAGACCACAGUUACUCUGCACUACAGCUCAAGGUUGAGGCUGUAUACACUCUAACCCACGCCUGGCAUUAGGCAUGGUGCCAAUAGAGUCACCUGGAAGCUAAAGAAUGCAGCACAGACCUGCAAAAUAUGAAUGUGAGGCUUUCUUUUAUUGAAUGUGGAUGAGUAACUCGUCUGUUCACAUGGAAAAUUCUAGCCGGAUCCUGUGGGUCAGAUUAUUUACUGAAUAAGCAUAAAAAUGUAUGGCAUGAA
rnacentral:lncRNA from 1 species